CCCACUUCAAUACAACAUGGUGGAUCUCAGUAACAGUUAUCUCUAUUUAGAUAGCGAAUAAGAUAUAUGAGGUGAUGAUACACAAACUUACGGACGAUAACAUUGUUAUUGUAUUGUUACCUGUUCCAUCGUGUACAACAGGAUAAUGACCGCGAUAUAAUGUAUAUAAGUACGUGUAUGUUAUUGUGAACCUCUUCUCCAGAGAAAAGACGUUCCUGGUUGAAAACGAAACUAGAAAAAAUGGACGAAAGACGAAGACUACUACAACAGACACCCGUUCCGGUGUCUCCGAACCCCGCUUCUCCGGGAAUCGGCGCGAGGGAAUGGAAAUCUAAACUAGGCAAAGGCACAAUACUGUUGACCGUAGUUUUCGAGAGGUUGGUGUUCUAUAGUUUGACGGGGAACAUGGUAUUGUAUUUUAACUUAGGACCUUAUAACUGGACUGCAUAUAAUGCCUUACUCGCAUCAUAUUUCUUCACCGGAAUCUCAUUCCUUACUUCGUUCGCCGGUGGAUUUCUGGGAGACACCGUACUUGGCCGAUACAAGACUCUGAUGCUAUCUUUCUUUGUUUACUGUGUUGGGUAUAUUUUCCUCCCUGUUUUAUCUUACAAUGAUUACAAACACACACAGGAGAAUACUACCAAUUCACGGCAUGAUAAAACUGAGUCUUUAUCACCAGUGUGCUGGCCCUUACUUCAACACAAUGGAAAUGCACCAAGCAAAGACUCAAUGCCAGGACCUUUUAAAGAGCCAUGUUCCCUGACAGCCUACCUAGUGUUAUUUGUCAUUGCUGUGGGCACAGGAAUAUUCCGCGCAAACAUGCCACCAUUUGGGGGAGACCAGGCCCAGACAAGAGGUGACGGACACACUACAUUCUUCAACUGGUAUUACUGGUCGGUAAACAUUGGUUCCCUCUUCGCCUUGUCGGUCAUCACCUGGGUCCAGCAGAGACACUCCUUCUUCUUGGGGUACCUCACAGCAGCUGUCUGUCUCGGGGUCGCCUUCCUCUUGUUUCUCACAGGCUCCUGUUCCUACAUAAACCGACCUAGGGCUCGCACAGUAUUGCAGAAUGUGUGUAGUGUCGUCAAAGAAGCCAUACAUAGAAGGCGCCACCGGAAUCCUGAAAGCAGUUUGAGAGCUCACAGUGACAGCACUAUUGAGUCGUCAAUGAGUGAACAGACAGACAGCAUAGAAAUCAACCCCAGCAAUACACCGGAAUGUUGCCUUGACUACGCCAAAUUUCAGUAUGGUGGUAGCUUCAACAACUCCCAGGUGGAAGAUGUCAAGAAAUUAGGGAAGAUAAUCUGUGUCUUCCUUACUCUUGUACCCUAUUGGAUGGUCUAUUUCCAGAUGCAGACAACCUUCCUGCUGCAGGGCCUACACAUGAAACUCAGUUUGAACUCGGCCACCAAUUGCAACAAAUCUAUCUGUCAUUCAAAUGUCACUCUUCAUGAAGCAGUUGGUCAACCCCAUGAACACAGUACCCCAAUUGUUGCGGCCUGGUUUUCUCUGUUUGACGUCGUGUUUGUAAUUCUGCUGAUCCCCCUUGUCGAUCGAGUGCUCUACCCCUACCUGGCCCGCCGGGGGCGCCCCAUCACCAUGGUGACAAGAAUCUCCAUCGGCAUGGUCUUUGCUUGUCUUGCAGUACUGCUAGCGGGAGUUGUAGAGAACCAGCGCCUCAAACAUAUCUACCUGUGUGAUCAUGACGGCCAACAGUUCUGUACAAACUUUACAAUUCAACAAAAAAUUGGUAAUGAGAAUUUUGAUGCAGCAAAUAUGACUGUGUUCUGGCAGAUUCCACAGUACGCCCUUAUUGGAGUCAGUGAAGUAUUUACCUGUGUAGCAGGUAUAGACUUUGCCUACCAGAUGGCGCCCCGCUCUAUGAAGGGGAUCAUCAUGGGUAUUUUCCACUUAUUUACUGGUAUCGGAAGUUUCUUGGGGAUUGGAGUCAUGUACAGUUUCCAGGAUGUCUGGUUUUACGGAAAUGAUUAUGGCAACAUAAAUUGUCGAUCAUGUGACGCAACCACUGGUCAUGUGACUGCACAGUGCCAUUUGGACUAUUAUUACUUUUUUCUCUGUGGCAUCCAAUUGCUUGGUUUAUUGAUAUUCAUCUGUGUUGCAAAGAAACUACAACUUAUGACAGAUUUACACCGAGGAGCAUCCAAGGUAAACGGACCAGCACCAAACGGGACACCUGGCGGCGUAGAUAAUAUGUCUGGUUACUCCUCCAUGAAUUCUGCAUCUGGUUCACCAUCCAGGAGCAGCUAUGGACGCAAGUCUGAGAUACCCGUGUCAAUUCAGCGACAGCGCAGCUCGGAAAACAACUCCUAGUGUCAUGCCUAAACUACAUGUAGCAACAUGUUGAGAGUGUCGUAAGAUUUCUCUAAUGUCAUGCUGCAGUGUCGUGUUAUUGUCUAAUGUCAUGCUACAGUGUCAUGUUAUUGUCUAAUGUCAUGCUACAGUGCCAUGUUAUUGUCUAAUGUCAUGAUACAGUGUCAUGUUAUUGUCUAAUGUCAUGCUACAGUGUCAUGUUAUUGUCUUAAGGUCAUGCUACAGUGUCAUGUUAUUGUCUAUUGGCAUGCUACAGUGUCAUGUUAUUGUCUAAUGUCAUGCUACAGUGUCAUAUUAUUGUCUAAUGGCAUGCUGCAGUGUCAUGUUAUUGUCUAAUGGCAUGGUGCAGUGUCAUGUUAUUGUCUAAUGUCAUGCUGUAGUGUCAUGUUAUUGUCUAAUGUCAUGCUGCAGUGUCAUUUUAUUGUCUAAUGUCAUGCUACAGUGUCAUGUUAUGGUCUAAUGUCAUGCUGCAGUGUCAUGUUAUUGUUUAAUGUCAUGCUGCAGUGUCAUGUUAUUGUCUAAUAUAAUGCUGCAGUGUCAUGUUAUUGUCUAAUGUCAUGCUUCAGUGUCAUGUUAUUGUCUAAUGUCAUGCUACAGUGCCAUGUUAUUGUCUAAUGUCAUGCUACAGUGUCAUAUUAUUGUCUAAUGGCAUGCUGCAGUGUCAUGUUAUUGUCUAAUGGCAUGCUACAGUGUCAUGUUAUUGUCUAAUGUCAUGCUGCAGUGUCAUGUUAUUGUUUAAUGUCAUGCUGCAGUGUCAUGUUAUUGUCUAAUGUCAUGCUACAGUGUCAUGUUAUUGGCUAAUGGCAUGCUGCAGUGUCAUGGUAUUGUCUAAUGUCAUGUUAUUGUCUAAUGUCAUGUGUCCAUGUGCUAGCACUGAGCUGGAUUGUUCAAGCAUAACACG
rnacentral:misc_RNA from 1 species